AGAUUGGAAGUGUCCUCUGAAUUCUUCAUAUCUCAGCAAUCCAGACAGUCAUUACCAAUUUGUCAAUGCUUGUAAGCUACAUAAAGGAAAAUAAUAAUAACCACAACUCAAAGGCUUCUCUUUUAUCAGCCAUAGAAAAAUGUUUCAACUUUACAAAGUGACUGUGAAUUUGAGUUAAACCCUCUGACAACAAAUUGGAGACUAGAAGCUCGGGAGCUUUCUUCAUUCUUUUAUUAAGAACAAAAUGACCAGCAGGAGAACAAUGUGAAAUUCACUGAGACCUGAAUGAAAUGCAAGAAAAUAUUAUUAUGAAAUGGUCUACCUAAUUAAUAAUGUUGGACACACAAGCCUGAAAGAUGAAAGAUACGGUGUUUAUACUUCUCCCUAGGAAGAGCCAUAGGCCUUGGGCCCCACCGAGGUUUGAACAAGCAGCGGGAAUUAACAAUGGCGAAAUAAUAGGACCUCGGCUAUUGGCAGAUGCACAAGUGACCAUGGUACUGGUUGGAGGAGGGAGAUGACCCUGUGAAAGAAUGAGCAAUACUCAGUUCAACAGGAAAUUCAGCCAAGUCAUGAGCAAGAGAUGGGCUGCUGCAAUCUUGCGGGAACCCUUGUAUCAGCAGCUUUAGAAAUACCUCUUCUUGGCUAGGACUCGGCUAUGGAUUGGAAUGGAUCUCAGAGUAGAUCCAGGGUUCCAGAGAUUACAGCACAGCAGUCUUCAAGGACAAGACUGACGUCAUUCUGAGCCACACAUAUCACAUUACUGAAAAGAUUAAACCUUAAUUAGUUAGAUUGUAGUGAAUAAAACUUACUCAAAUUGUGUAUCCCUCCAGCUACCCAAUCACCUACAAACACACAGUGAUAGUAAGAAUGAACACAAGGCUUUAUUUUAGAUUUACUCUGUAGGUCCAAAGGCAUCUCUUUUGAACUGUGAUACAGGUAAAAGUAUAACACACACAUUAAAAGAAUAUUCUUCAGAGAUGGUGAAAAUGAGUUCAAUUUGUAUGAAAUGAUAGAAAAUGAAACCAUCCAAAUAUCAGUACUCUCAUUCUUCUCUGAGGCACAAAAUGCCACAGCUUAAUAGGAAAGUUACAAAUUAGCUAUAAGGGAGAAAAGAAGAAAAUCUUCAGACAUACAGAGAGAGCCUUUUCUUUAUUGUUACCUUGAUAAAACUAUAAUCUUUCAAGAAAAAUUACCAUCUUCACAAACUCUGAUCAUUCAUAUUACAACCAGUGAUGAGAAAGUAAUGGUUAAGGACAAAGUCAAAAGAUUUGCCUCAAAUUAUUACCACAACCACCACUGCAUUUUGAUGUACAAAUAUGAAAUAACAAUUACUUGGCAAUCAUUUAUAAAUUCUAAAUUAUACCAAAUAGUACAUGUUCUUAGAUACAAUAAAGAAACAUGAAGGAAUUCUAUUAGCUAGUAAGUGCCUCUAUCUGUAUGCCAGCCUAAAUCUCUGCUUGCCCAUUAUGUUGUAAUGCAUUCAGAAAAUCUCCAUGGUAACUUCUAGACACAUAUCCAAAUAACUGAAUAUUUUCCAUUUGUCUCACAUAUUUUACUUUACACAUGGACUUGCCUUGUCACCUGACUGCAUUUAUGUGAAAAUUACAUACACACAUACAAACACAUGUGUGUAUACAUAUACCCAUCCAAAUUUCUAAAAAUAAUUUCGAAGAACUCAGGAAAAACUGAUACAGUUAGCACAGAGCAGUUAGAGACAUUUUAUUGAGAUUGUUAGAAGGAGAAAGAUAGUGGUACUAGGAAAAUGAGAUACGAUAAUUUAAAUGUUCUGCUAGUCCAGUAGUCUGGGUAGAAAGAAAAAUGUAUUCUUCCUUCUGUAGCUGUCAUUUGACAAAAAAGAAGUAGAAGACAAACUCAUAUUCAUCCUUAAUUGAAAUAGGAAUUGAGUUGUAGCUUACAUAAAAGACAUUCAUAUUGUGAUUAAAAAAACACUCCUACCAAAGUGAGGAAACAUCUAAACACAAGCUAUAUAGAAACACAUGUCAAUUUCAUUUACAGUUGACAAAGCCCAAGGGACGGAGUUGACACUAUACAAGUCUUGAGUAUCUUUAUGGCGGUAACAUGCCUGAAUAUGCUCUGAGAGGUCAACCAAAGGUUACCUAGGUACCUAGCGAACUAGGUGAGGUUGUUCUGUUUCCAUACUCUCAUCUAAUUUUCCCCCGCUGCCAUCCAGUCACAUUCUGCUCACUCCUACACAUUGAAGCCUAUUCCUAGGGAGGAUCUAAUAGUUCCUUAAUUAAGUCUUUUUAUUUUAGGAAUCUUCAGUGUUUGAAUUUUAAGAUUUGCCUCCAAUAUGAAAUGAGAGGACUUUGCCUUCACUACUCAGCUUGAAGAAAGAGGAAGAGAUUUAUUUGGGGUGGAGAAUGUGAAGCCGUCCCAGUGACUGCCUCUUCCAUGAAUUGUCUUUCUGUUCCAAGGCAAUGACCUCAGUGUUGUCAACUAGGAGGCACCUGAGCUAGUAAGGAGAAGCCAGGCAAGAGAGAGAUUCGCCUCAUCCCCACUGGUUAAAUAUUUUGCUCAUAAAAAAUUUUGGAAAUAUAUUUAUUAAGGAUAACUAUGUGCAACAGUUUCUAAAAUGUCAUUUGGGAUGUUGCACGAGUGAUCAAUGUUAGGGUGGCAUGAAAAUCCUGAACUGUAGCUAGCAGGCUUUAGCAGCUGAAGGCAUUUUGUUUAAUACUGUAAAUACAGCACCAGAGUUUAACUGCAUUGACAAUUAUUUUACUGCUGACCCAUGGACCACAGAGUGGUUAAAAGCAAGGGCAUUUGAGGCAGGUGGCCUGAAGGUUCAUGUCCCUGCUGCGUCAUUUACCAUCUCCAUGACCAUGGGCAAGUUACUUAACUUCUGUAAGCCUUAGUUUUCUCCCCAUAAGUUAAAAUAAAGAUGUACCUUCCUUAUGAGUUUGGUAAGACAAAUACCUUAGAUAAUGCAUAUAAAGUAAUUAACAUCAUGCCUUGAAUGCAGUAAUUUCUCCAAAAAUAUUAUUGCCACUACCAUUCUACUAUUAUUACAAUUGUUAUUUUUGCAUAUAUUUCUCAAAAAUACAGUGGAAAUGUAAGCAUGUAAACGUUAUCGUGUUCAGUAUAAUAUACAAACAUUAGCAUAAGUAUUUCCUUUCUCAUGAGCUUUGUGCAGAGAUCACCUGCUAAUGAAUGUGGAAAAAUAGAAAUAAAUUUAGAACAUUUCUGUAGAAUCGAAGUUAUGUUCAGGUUCUCUAACACUUGAAAACAAUAAAAGCAUUAAAAAAUUUUUAUCUC